CGACGCUGUGGCGCGAUCGGUCGAACCGAGGUUUCAGCGCAGAGGUGGUACAGGAGAGCGUGAAAGGAACAGAGAAGUACCUUCGUAUACAGAAAUGAGGCCCGGGGUAAGAGUCCGUGAGAUGAUUCCUUAAUUGGUUCCUACCCCAUGGCAUAAGAAUACAUUGUAUCCGGCUAUAAGACUAUGUCAGGAAACUCCAAGAUGUCUCUGCGAGCAUCAUUUAUUUGUCGACGUUGUCUUCAUUUUCAUGUGCGUCCCGAUUUUUCAAUACUCAUUUCUAAGUACGUUCAAUUUACUUAGAGAGUAAUUUGAAAUA